UUUAUCUGCAGAUUCAAGGGUCUUGGGAUGGGCUAGUAUCAUGACCCCUCCCAGAGCUAUGCUGGGUGGAACAAAAGGGGAGCCAGGAGGGGCUGGUAGUAUAGCCACAGUGCUAGGCAAAGGCGGUAGCUUUUAAAACUACAUGCACCGUCUAUCAUAAUGGGGAGUGUGGCAGCAGUCAGGCAUGACACUGGAGCAGUAGCUGAGAGCUCACACUUGAUCCAUAGGUUGCAGGUAGAGAGUGUGAGACUGGGCCUGGCAUUGGCUUUUGAGACCUCAAAGCAGCCCCUCCCUCGCCCAUGGCCCAUCCUUUCAGCAAGGCUGUACCUCCUAAUCCUUCCCAAACAGUUCCAUUAACUGGGGACCAAGCAUUCAAACUUAUGAGCCCACAGGGGCCGUUCUCAUUCAAGCCACCACAGGGUAGGAAGCAGAAGUCCUGCCUACCCAACUGUGAUGCCUGUGAGCAAUACCAGUGACCAGCCCAGCAAGAUGUGGCAUGGCAAAGGUGCAGUAGGGGUAUUCAUAUCUCAGUGGGAGCCAGCUGUUGCCUAACUGGACUUAAAGCCACUCAACAGGAGGGAAGUCAUGCCUGGUACCAAAAAUCUAGCUAACUAACCAGAGAUAGUGAAGUCUUGGAUCUUAGAGAAAACCAGACUGCUGCUGCUAUACUAAUAAUUCUACAUACUCAUCCUUAUGUUCACAGUUAAAUGUAUCUGUCACCAUCACCAAAGAAGUUUCGCUUUGCAGCAGAGACCAUUACAGAAAGCCACAACUUGUCAAAAUGCAGAGAACACCUGAUUGACAGAGAACCAAGUACCCGUGCUGCUGAUUCAAACACUCAGGCAUGACUUAGAAACCAUUCCAACAACGG
rnacentral:lncRNA from 1 species